UACGUAGGGUGCGAGCGUUAAUCGGAAUUACUGGGCGUAAAGCGUGCGCAGGCGGUGAUGUAAGACAGAUGUGAAAUCCCCGGGCUCAACCUGGGAAGUGCACUCGAUACUGCGUGGCUUGAGUAUCGGAGAGGUUGGUGGAAUUCUCGGUGUAGAGGUGAAAUUCGUAGAUAUCGAGAGGAACACCGGUGGCGAAGGCGGCCAACUGGACGAAUACUGACGCUGAGACACGAAAGCGUGGGGAGCAAACAGG
rnacentral:rRNA from 1 species